GAUAUCGAUUGCGUUUGCAAGUAUUUUCGUUGGCUCGAAAAUUAAUUUAUUAAAUUAUAUUCAAGUGCAUUAUACUUUCAACAGAGUCUAGCAAACAUAUUAUAAACCGGUAGUGAGUGUUAUUUGGAAGGGUUUUAAUGUAGUGCAUAAGUCUGAAAUUGCAUUCCUUGAAAGCUGAUCAACGUGUUGCGCUUUACCUUUGUGUGUUAAACAAAAAAUCCUUGAAAAAGCUUUUGCCGUAGGCAAGGGCACGUAGAAUCAUAAGCGCACCCCAAUCAUACAUGAAGGAAUUGUAAGAUAAGAAGCCACUGAUAAAACAACCAACAAAACGAGUUGCAGUGAAAAGUGUAGUUUUUCAUUCUAAAAAACAAAACGCAAGCACUAAAAUUGGACUACAAAAAAAAAGAAACAAUAAACCAAAUUAUAAAUUCAAAACGAAACGUUUCAUCCACUCAUCAACACUUUGGGGCACGUCAAAUUCAAUUUUCUAACAUUUUCGGAUUGUGAAGUGCGUCCAUUGGAUUGGGUUUGGUUAAUCAUACAUUGCCGUGCAGGGACAUCGCACAUCACUCCCACUACAAUCACCACUACCAUCACCACCACAACCACUACUAUUACUACUACUCCAACCACAGCCAAUAGUGCCCAUAUAGGUGAUUUAAUCACCAUACAUACAUACGUAAUUAGGUUGCAGGACAUCAUCGUCAUCUCAGCGCUUUGUUGUGCAUAUUUGUGGUAGCGCAUGUUGUAAAUUGACCGAAACAAAUAAGCAGCCAUAAGUAAGCUUCAAUAAAAAUUGCUUACACAAACCUAACCUGCAAAGAAAAAAAAUUUAAUAUUUAAAUUUGCAAACUGGGAGUCGCUUAUAUCGAUCAUAAACAAGCAAAUUGCUAAUUACACACACACGCACACACAGUGCUGCUCACCACAAUGAGUUUGUGGAAGAGUAUCGUACGCUCUCCGGAGCUUGAAAAGCGCAUGUCUCAGUACUACGAUGUCAAGGGCCUCGGCGAGAUACGCGUGCAAUUUGCAUCGUGGAUUGAAGAGUUCAUAAUGUCCCAUCACCAAUUGCCAACUAACCAGAAAAUCUUCGAACAAUUAGUCAACGCAUUCUACGACGGACUGAAACAGAAGCUCAUUACAUUGGAUGGUGAUAAUUUGUUAAAGUUUAAAAUUCGUGAAAUUUGCGCGCAUCUCGCACGAACAACACCCCUUGAACUAUACACGUACUUUCGUAACGGUUUACUUCGUGAAAUUCAGGCGUUGAAGGAAGGAAUGCCACAAAAUCCCUACAUGUAUAAUACAGCACUUGUUGGUGGCCAUGUGAAUGGAAUCGGCGGCAUGAAUGCAGGUAAUCCCUAUUUGAGCGGUGUCGGCGUCGGCGUUGGCGUUAGCCACAUCGACGAUGUGAAUAUGGCCGAAGAUGCGUACGCAUUGCCGGCGCGCAUACAGAAAUUAGCCGUCGAUGUUGAGAAUAUGCGUUUGGCCAUACAUAAUUUCCAAGGUGAACAGGAUUCGGUAUACAAUUAUUUUAGUGAUUUCAACCAAACACGUGCAAUGAUGUCGGCACAAGAUAUACAGGAACGUGAAAACCAAUUUAAGGAGCAGUAUCUCAUUUUGUCCGAACGCAAGAAGGUUGUUGUCACCGAUUUGCGACGCGUUAUCAACGAAUACGAUAUGAUACAAGAGCAAGUGAUAAUGGCUUUGAAAAUGUGGCAACGCAAUCAGGCUUUGGCUGGCAAUGGUGCGCCAUUCCACGACAAUUUAGAUGAGAUACAACGUUGUAUAGAGAUGUUGGUGGAUAUGAUUACUAAAAUUCAAUUAUACGUUACUAAUCUGCUCGCGAUGGGCGAAGAUCCGAUUCUGACAGAUUUGCUAAAUCAUGUUCGUUCUACACAAAAAAUUCUGGUGUUGUCGGCUUUUAUAGUCGAACGUCAGCCGCCACAAGUGAUGAAAACACAUACGAGAUUUGCCGCCGCUGUACGAUGGUUGAUUGGCCCACAGCUGGAGAUAUACAGAACUAAUCCAACUAUAGAAUGUGUUAUACUCUCAGAGGCCCAAGCUCAACGGCACGCCGCUCAUAAUAGCAUUACGGACAUGCAAACCGCCGCUCCGCCGCAAUCUUCUGGUGAAAUUUUAAACAACGUCAGCUCUAUGGAAUUCCAACAGGCCACACGAGUAUUCUCAGCCAGUUUUAGAAAUAUGCAAUUGAAAAAAAUUAAGCGGGCCGAAAAAAAAGGCACCGAGAGUGUUAUGGACGAGAAGUUCUCUUUACUCUUCUACACAACUGUCGUUUUCAACGAAUUCAAGAUAAGUUGCUGGACACUUUCUUUGCCAGUUGUUGUGAUUGUGCACGGCAAUCAGGAGCCACAGUCCUGGGCCACAAUCACUUGGGAUAAUGCAUUUUCCGAUAUUACGCGUGAACCCUUCCAAGUGCCAGAGAAAGUACGCUGGCAGCAAUUAUCUGUGGCUUUGGAUACGAAGUUUGGUUCGGCGACAGGAAGAAAUUUAACCGAAGAUAACUUGAACUUUCUAUAUGAGAAACUUUUCCGCAACGAAGCUGGCGAGCAUAAUGAGUUCAUAACUUGGGCUCAGUUCUGCAAAGAACCUCUACCAGAUCGAGCAUUUACCUUCUGGGACUGGUUCUUUGCAAUAAUGAAAUUGACCAAAGAUCAUUUAUUGAAUCUGUGGAAAGAGGGUCUUAUUGUUGGUUUCAUAAACAAGCGCAAGACUUUGGAAGAAAUUUUACCUAUGCAACAAUAUGGCACAUUUUUACUGCGCUUCUCCGACAGUGAAUUGGGUGGUAUAACUGUGGCUUUUGUCGACGAUCAAGGUAAUAAACUUAUGCUGGCACCUUGGACGUCGCGUGAUUUAAAUAUACGUUGUUUGGCGGACCGCAUACACGAUUUGAACGUUUUGCGUACUGUCUUUCCAAAGAAUCUGGCACGUGAUGAGGCGUUUGGAAACUUCUACUCACACCACGUCGCAGAACAAACAACACGUGAUGGCUAUGUUCCGAAUACAAUAAGGGCACACGUGCCGGCCAUAGAGGGCGGUUCCGUGGUGGGCACUCCUCAGCAUCAACCGCAAGAUAUAUCAAUACCGAAUUUUAGUGAUUUUGAUUCAAUAAUUUAUGAUGGAUGCGGAUAGAUACACACACACGCAGUGAUAUACAUAUAUACACACGUUAACAAAUUGAUUGAAAGGAAAAAGGAAAAAAAAAUUAAUAACAAUAAAAAACAACAACAUAAUUUAUACGAUAAAAUACAUUUUAACUAUUUGCCAUCAUAUAAAGCGUAUAAUUGCUUAGAAACUGCCGCUUUUCUAUGAACUUUAUGACUUUUACAAACAACAAAAACACGGAUUUGCAUAUAUUCACAUAAACGGAAGUGAGAGUCAAGAGUUCCUCAGUAAAGUAGGCCAGUGUAUUAGUUAUUAGCAAUCAUUAACCGUACACACAUCUGUCCACACAAUUAACUACCGUUAUUAAAUUGUCGAGCAAUAUUUUCAAAACUACGGGGCUGUGUAUAUUUAAAAAUUGCUGUCUCUGAGCGACUUGUAAGCCAUCGUUAAACACACAAAAGCAGUAAAGCAAAAUGCCACUAAUGGUUUGAAGGAAGUAUGUUCAAAACGAGAGAAAACAAAAACACAAAGAGAACGCGUUAUUGAAAUAUUCUACGAAGGGAUACUUUGCUGUUUUAUCAGUUUGUGAGUGUAUGUGUACACUUUCAUGUCGCUAGUCGAUGCUGAAUAUGAUAUGAUAUUUACAUUAACCGUUAUGCAUGCUGUACCGCCUUGAAAUUUUAUAUUUAGUCUAUAUCUUCUCUCCAAAAACAUACAAAAAAAAUAUUUUUUUUUAAAUUUUUGUAAUGUACACUAAAUUUCUUACACUCUUCGAAACACUUGUAACUACCGUUAGUGGUAAAUAACUUAUAGUAAGUGUAAUAGUUUUAUACUCGCCGUUGCCUUAUAUAAUUAUAUUAAAUUUUCACUUUUUUUGUGUUCUGUAAAUCUAUUUUUAAUAGUCAAAUGAACUUUUCAAUGUUGCGGAUGCUUGAAUACUUGAAUUCUCUUUAUCACUGGUACUUGUUGUUUUGUGGUUAACUGAAUGUAAUUGCAAAAAAAAAAAUUUAAAUAAAUAAUUAUAAAUAUAUGCAUGCCAAUUGGUGAAAAUAUAAAGAGUCCACAGCAUAAAAUUAAA